UACGGAGGAUGCAAGCGUUAUCCGGAAUGAUUGGGCGUAAAGCGUCCGCAGGUGGCUAUGUAAGUCUGCUGUUAAAGAGUGAGGCUCAACCUCAUAAGAGCAGUGGAAACUACAUAGCUAGAGUGCGUUCGGGGCAGAGGGAAUUCCUGGUGUAGCGGUGAAAUGCGUAGAGAUUGGGAAGAACAUCGGUGGCGAAGGCGCUCUGCUGGACCAUAACUGACACUCACAGGACGAAAGCUAGGGGAGCGAAUGGG
rnacentral:rRNA from 1 species